rnacentral:rRNA from 1 species
CACGUAGGGGGCGAGCGUUGUCCGGAUUUAUUGGGCGUAAAGAGCUCGUAGGCGGCUCAGUAAGUCGGGUGUGAAAACUCCAGGCUCAACCUGGAGACGCCACCUGAUACUGCUGUGGCUAGAGUCCGGUAGGGGAGCAUGGAAUUCCUGGUGUAGCGGUGAAAUGCGCAGAUAUCAGGAAGAACACCCGUGGCGAAGGCGGUUCUCUGGGACGGUACUGACGCUGAGACGCGAAAGCGUGGGGAGCGAACAGG